UACGGAGGGGGCUAGCGUUGUUCGGAAUUACUGGGCGUAAAGCGCGCGUAGGCGGACCUGCAAGUCGGGGGUGAAAGCCCGAGGCUCAACCUCGGAACUGCCUUCGAUACUGCGGGUCUCGAGUCCGGGAGAGGUGAGUGGAAUUCCUAGUGUAGAGGUGAAAUUCGUAGAUAUUUAGGAAGAACACCAGUGGCGAAGGCG
rnacentral:rRNA from 1 species